GGUGAGAUGGCCGAGCGGUCUAAGGCGCCAGACUAAGGUGUUCUAGAUCUCUUCACACUACGUUGUCAUCUGGUCUCUUCGGGGGCGGGAGUUCGAAUCUCCCUCUCAUCA